GGGGUGACACCAGGCUGCUGAAGCUGGCCGCGCUGAUGGAGUGGAAAGUGAGAAAGCCCUCAGCUCUGCUGGUGGAGGCAAGCCCCGGCCCCUCUGACGAAGCCCGCAUCAUCUUUUGGGAUCUCUGAGCCUUGGAGAACUUCUGGGAAGUUGGUGAGGGUCGGGAGCUUCCUCAUGUGAGGCUAGGAUGGGGCCUGUCCCUCCUUCACGCCCCUUCCAUCUGGCCCUCACGGAGCCUUCCUUCGAGCAUCAGGGCUGGGAGUCCUGAAGCACCUCCCAUCCUCUUUGUAUCCACAGGCUCAGGUCUAGCAGGAGCUGGGCCAAGCCCGAGGUUUCCGCAGGAAAGGCUGAGAGGAUUGCUCCAAUCCAAUUACUAGAAUGUGCUCACAUCGGCUGGCAGCCCCGAGAUGGGGCCGGCCCAUUUCUGCCUGGAUGCCUGCAGGGGAGGGGUUGGCAUGGCAACGUGAGCUCUGAGCUGCUGAAACUUGAAGUCAACUGGUAGCUGGGAGGACAGAAAGAACGACCGAGAGGAGCCUCUGAGUGACGGGCGUCAGACAAAUCCAGGUCCUGCCACGCCCAGGCCCAGCCUCACCCUCCCACCUAGAUACUGCAACAGCCACCAUCUGGUCUCCCUGAGCUGGCCUCCCCCUGCCCUGUGGCCCACCUGG